UGAGGAACAUGACCUUCGGCGGGGGAUAGCCGGCCCAACGGCCGGGUAAUACCGCGUACGACCACAUGGGGACAUCCCUGAGUGGUGAAAGCAGCAAUGCGCCGAUGGAGUGCCUCGCGGCCUAUCAGCUAGUUGGUGAGGUAACGGCUCACCAAGGCAACGGACGGGUAGCUGGUCUGAGAGGAUGGCCAGCCACAUUGGGACUGAGACACGGCCCAGACCUNUACCGGGGAGG
rnacentral:rRNA from 1 species